CGCGCCUACCCGAAGGCCGACUGGGCGCCGCGCUUCCUGCGCGCGAAGUCCACGUUCGAGGCGCUGGGCCGCGA
rnacentral:tRNA from 1 species